GAUGAACGCUAGCGGCAGGCCUAACACAUGCAAGUCGAGGGGUAGAAGGAGCUUGCUCCUUUGAGACCGGCGCACGGGUGCGUAACGCGUAUGCAAUCUACCUUGUACAGGGGAAUAGCCCAGAGAAAUUUGGAUUAAUGCCCCAUAGUAUAUAACCUUCGCAUGUUGGUUAUAUUAAAGUUCCAACGGUACAAGAUGAGCAUGCGUCCCAUUAGUUAGUUGGUAAGGUAACGGCUUACCAAGACGAUGAUGGGUAGGGGUCCUGAGAGGGAGAUCCCCCACACUGGUACUGAGACACGGACCAGACUCCUACGGGAGGCAGCAGUGAGGAAUAUUGGUCAAUGGUCGCAAGACUGAACCAGCCAUGCCGCGUGCAGGAAGACGGUCCUAUGGAUUGUAAACUGCUUUUAUACAGGAAGAAACCCUCCCACGUGUGGGAGCUUGACGGUACUGUAGGAAUAAGGAUCGGCUAACUCCGUG
rnacentral:rRNA from 1 species